GGUUGCUCAGAGUGCUGGGUGGCUUUACCAGCUCACUUUUUUUUUUUUUUUUUAAAAACCAGGCUUGUCUUAGGAGAUGAAGAGGUUGUCUGUGUUAGUGUUAGCGUGUUAAUGGUGAAUGUUAAUAUUGGCCAGACUGAAUGGGAACAAGCUGUCUCGUGACAUGUCCUUCUGUCUCCUGCCACCCUACUGGCUCAUCUAUAGGUCCUGAGUCCCAUUUCCCCAACCCCAGUCUCCCCCAGUUCACUUUCUUCUAGAAGGUCAUCAGCAGUCUUGCUUUGUGGGUGCUCCCCUUCAAUGUAAUGACUGUCAUUUAAGGAGAGUCUAGAGAUGGAUCCUAAGUGUAAGCUGCCGGAUCGGGAAGAAUGAAUGGUAGGGCCCCUCUGCAUCUUCCCACGAGGCCUGCUUCUCCAUAAUGGAUGUUUAAAUGCCACCAUGGUGAUGCUUGCUCCAAUUCUUACUGACUCAGCCAGUCAUUGGGUGACUUCUAGUGUUUGGUUAGUUUACACAACCUUCUGGUUUUUUCUGUCUUCACCAACGUCUUCUUAUGCUAGUUCUCCCAGACAUAGAGUUUCCUUAUACCACAUAUAAGCGUGAUAAAGACAACAUCCUUGUGCUUUCCCCUUUAAGGUGCUUUACCAGUUUCUCUGUCCACUGACCAAGGAACUGUUCAGUGCAGAAGACCCGGCUGUCUGUCUGUCCAUGGAGAAUCUGUAGCAAGAUGGAAGGAGGGGUGUGUUGGGAUAAUGGAGUGAACCAGGUAGACUUGAGACUUUCCACCAAGCACCUGUGGUGAAGCCUGGCUGCCGAGUCACGCCCUCCCUGAGGGUCCUGGAGCAGGUGAUUUAGCCACUCUGGGCUCGUUUCAUCCCCAACAAGGUGUAAGAUGGUAGGAGCGAGAGUGAAGAGUCUGAAGUGUAGAUUUUACUGGCUGGCUGGAAGGAAGAAUGAAACCAGCGAGUUUUAUUGCUUUCUUUAGUAGUAAUGAUAAGUGGCCUUGUUAAAAAGUAACUUACCUGGGGUGAAAUGAAAACAUUCCAUUUUCAUUAACAAAGGAAAACAAACAAAAAACAACUGUCGCGCCCGCUCUCGACCAGCAAGAACGACGUGACCACCAGUCCUUCUAACAGCAGUUUAUUCAGUCUUCAUCUUUCUUCUUUCUCUUCAUCAGUACCGUUCCCCAGCUGAAGAGUUCUGAAUCCACGCCGGAUCCUUCUCAACAGUCUGUUUCACGGGAACACUUUAUUAACCGCUCCUUCCCCGUGAUGCAGUUCUGAAUCCUCCCUGUAGCAGGGGGUCUUCGCUCAUGCCUGAAGAUGUUUCUUUUCCCGGGUUUCAGCACCACUUCUUGCGCGCGCUCAACUGGCCAGGAAGAACGACGCUGCUACAGGAUCCUUCUGCACACGUUUAUUCAGUCCUGUUUCUUCUUCCUCUAUAUAUCUCCCUUGUUUAUAUCUCCCUUGUUUAUAUAUCUCCCUUGUUUUUAUAUCUCCCUUGUUUUUAUAUCUCCCUUGUUUUUAUAUCUCCCUUGUUUUUAUAUCUCCCCUGUUUAUAUCUCCCUUGUUUUUAUAUCUCCCCCACUAAUAGUAAUCCUCUCUCGAAUAAUAAUCCUCCCUCUAACCCGGGCCUCUCACUCUUAUAUACUCUCAGUUCCCAUCCACGCACAGCAGGCCACGCCACCUCACCAGGCACGCAGCUUCAGCUAAUCAGGGCAGCAGGGGCAAAUCUCCACCAAAUUGGAUUCACCUGUAUCCUGGUACACCUGCGCAGCACUCAAGAUGUUUGUGUCUUAUAUGAGGAAGUCAGGUGAAAGUCAUAUGACUUAGCUGCAGUCCCUGGCGCCUUUGGGACUGCCGCCACACCCGCUCCUAACAUCUCCCCCUUUUUUCUUUUCUGGCAGAGAGAAUGUCUGUAGAUAGCCCCCCGCAGCCAUGCCCCUUACCCGUCCUUGGGUGACAAACAGCAUUGGUUUGAUCCCUGUCUUAGGUUGGUGACAUGCCCAGGGAGUCUUAUCACUGACUACCUCUCAAUCAUGCCAAGCCACUCCUGGGGAGAUUGUGUUUUGCUUGCGGCAGGUGCAUCAAAAGGCCAGGAUAUUAAUUAACCUAUGGCCAGAUCUUAAUUGCUGCAAGCAAGCCUCAUGGGUGAAGGUAGAGGUCUGAUCCCCAGUGUGCAAGCAUAGGGGCCCUACACAAAACCAUCUCUUAGGCUCAUCACCCAGAGAGGUCUUGGCCAGCUCCCGUGUCGUUUUUCCUGGGGGAAGGGAACUAGGACACUGAACCUUCAUGCAAUCAGACGUGCCUUCCACAGGAUGCCAACAGCAAGCUAUCCUCUGUGCAGUGCUUAGCCUCGCACCCCACGGCAUAACGCAGCAUAAUUUCUUUUAGAGCGGCAAACCGAAUCUGAGGAGAUUGUCCCGCCUCCACUGCAGCAAAAGCCUACGCUACCAUGGCGAAAGUGCGGGCCGCACACUCUGCACCUAACACAUGUGCCAAACACAAAAAACACACACACUAUAACAAGCAUACAUCCCAGGGCUCUCAUCCCCGCUCAUCUUCCCUGAAGCAAGGGAUAGAUAGCCAGAGGGGCUAUCUCUUUAAGGGGAAUUCAGGGAUCAAAAAGGCAUGGAAAAAUUUGAAUGUCAUGUCGAGCUGGUAUCGGCUUCUGGAAUACCGAAAGGAUCUCUCAUCUCGGCUCCAUCCUUUGUGCUUGUGGGAUCAUCCACCAUAUCCACAGGGGCAACUGGAUCAGGAGCCUCAUUCUUGCAGCGUCUCACCAAUCUCUCCGGCACCCAAAGAGGUUCCGUCUGGUCCUGUGGGAACACACAAACAGACCCUCUCGCCCACGUCAACACCUGAUCUGGUCGAUCCUCUCCAAAUCUCCAGACAGAAGGUCCACCUACAGGUGGCUGCUGAGGAGGCAUAGGGAGGCGGCACAAAAGCUAAUUCGCCUUCCUCCUCCACCUCGGCUCUUUUAUUUUGUCCUUUCUGUCCACCUGAUAACACUGUGUCUCCUUUCUUUUUCCUUUUUCUUUUUAAGCCCUUCUCCUCUUCCGACAUACUUUCUUGUUGCUCUGUAAGGAUUUUCUGACCUGUCUUGACUGCCUCUACACACAGUUUCAAACAGUAACAGAGUCCAUAUAUCAGAACAAACAAGACCAAAACUAUCAGACCUACCCACAAAGGGUCAAUGGGAGAAAAAAGCAUAACUACUCAGCGAGGAUCUAUUGAUCACUACACUGAGGUUAUCAUAGUUCCUUAACUUGUCCCCAAACCGGGAACCUUAACUUAUCCCAAAACCGGGAACCUAUCGUUACUUUGUGCCUGCUUCCUGGCAACUUUAUAUUCCCCUCUAUUUUAUCCGAGGUCCUUCCCAAACUCCUGGGGUCGCAAGUUUCACUCACCAUGAACUUACCCUGCCGGCAACCACUGACUGCUGAAAGUUCUGAACUCGGUGGGGGAGUCGGUUCCCCGUACGGGCCACCAAUUGUCGCGCCCGCUCUCGACCAGCAAGAACGACGUGACCACCAGUCCUUCUAACAGCAGUUUAUUCAGUCUUCAUCUUUCUUCUUUCUCUUCAUCAGUACCGUUCCCCAGCUGAAGAGUUCUGAAUCCACGCCGGAUCCUUCUCAACAGUCUGUUUCACGGGAACACUUUAUUAACCGCUCCUUCCCCGUGAUGCAGUUCUGAAUCCUCCCUGUAGCAGGGGGUCUUCGCUCAUGCCUGAAGAUGUUUCUUUUCCCGGGUUUCAGCACCACUUCUUGCGCGCGCUCAACUGGCCAGGAAGAACGACGCUGCUACAGGAUCCUUCUGCACACGUUUAUUCAGUCCUGUUUCUUCUUCCUCUAUAUAUCUCCCUUGUUUAUAUCUCCCUUGUUUAUAUAUCUCCCUUGUUUUUAUAUCUCCCUUGUUUUUAUAUCUCCCUUGUUUUUAUAUCUCCCUUGUUUUUAUAUCUCCCCUGUUUAUAUCUCCCUUGUUUUUAUAUCUCCCCCACUAAUAGUAAUCCUCUCUCGAAUAAUAAUCCUCCCUCUAACCCGGGCCUCUCACUCUUAUAUACUCUCAGUUCCCAUCCACGCACAGCAGGCCACGCCACCUCACCAGGCACGCAGCUUCAGCUAAUCAGGGCAGCAGGGGCAAAUCUCCACCAAAUUGGAUUCACCUGUAUCCUGGUACACCUGCGCAGCACUCAAGAUGUUUGUGUCUUAUAUGAGGAAGUCAGGUGAAAGUCAUAUGACUUAGCUGCAGUCCCUGGCGCCUUUGGGACUGCCGCCACACCCGCUCCUAACAAACAACCCCAAACAAACAAACAAACAAAUAACAAACCAAAACCAAUAUGGUAAGUAUAAGGGAUCCAGAUUGGUGGUGCGUAUCGAUAACCUCAGGAUUAAAACUUGAGAGGUGGAAGUAGGAGGAUCAAGAGCUCAAAGCUAGCCUUGGCUAUAUAGGGAAUUUAAGGCCAAUCUAGGCUACAGGAGAUCUGGUCUC
rnacentral:lncRNA from 1 species